rnacentral:rRNA from 1 species
GACGAACGCUGGCGGCGUGCUUAACACAUGCAAGUCGAACGGUGAAGGACGGAGCUUGCUCUGUCUGGAUCAGUGGCGAACGGGUGAGUAACACGUGAGUAACCUGCCCCAGACCCUGGAAUAAGCGCUGGAAACGGCGUCUAAUACCGGAUACGAGACGGAGAGGCAUCUCUACCGUCUGGAAAGUUUUUCGGUCUGGGGUGGACUCGCGGCCUGUCAGCUUGUUGGUGAGGUAAGGGCUCACCAAGGCAACGACGGGUAGCCGGCCUGAGAGGGCGACCGGCCACACUGGGACUGAGACACGGCCCAGACUCCUACGGGAGGCAGCAGUGGGGAAUAUUGCACAAUGGGCGAAAGCCUGAUGCAGCGACGCCGCGUGAGGGAUGACGGCCUUCGGGUUGUAAACCUCUUUCAGCAGGGAAGAAGCGAAAGUGACGGUACCUGCAGAAGAAGCACCGGCUAACUACGUGCCAGCAGCAGCCGCGG